ACUCACCUCCUCCCAGCUUAGAAAGCUCCGGAGACUCGUCUGAUCUCGGAAGCUAAGCAGAGUCGGGCCUGGUUGGUACUUGGAUGGGAGAGAGCUCCGGAGAAAGGGAGGGAGGGGUGGACC
ensembl:rRNA 5S_rRNA 5S ribosomal RNA